AAGUACCGUGAGGGAAAGUUGAAAAGCACUCUGAAUAGAGAGUUAAAUAGUACGUGAAACCGCUUAGGGGUUAAGCCUGAUGAACCCGAAUAUUUGAAAUGAGAAAUUCAUUAUUAUUAAGUAGCUGCACUUUGCUGUAGCGAACAAUGGUAUGCACUUUUCUCAGUGUAAAACAUUGCAAUCUAUUUGUAUAUCCGUAUGGAUGGUUUAUCAAAUGGCCCGUAUGGUUUGUUCAUUCCUAUCUGUGACAUUUUAUGUCAUAUGGUUGAUGCCAUAGCGGUGACCUGGUAAACAGCAGAUAGUUUUUAAAAAUCAUGCAACCACAUUUUAUUAUGUGUAUCACGGUUCGUGUGCUUUUGUGCGCGGAUGCAGUGAUAGCAUGCAUUUGAUUGGCAAUGCGAUAGGUUUGGGAACCUUCAGGACCCGUCUUGAAACACGGACCAAGAAGUCUAACAUGUGUGCGAGUCAUUGGGUAUAUUGUUGAAACCUAAGGGCGCAAUUAAAAUAACUAUUUUAUAUGGGAUUACAAGUGAAUUAAAUUUCAUUUCUUCAUCCCGGGGCGUUCUAUACGAACAUGGUGCAAGCAAUUGUGCCCUCUGUUCAAGAGCGUACCUUGAGCAUACAUGCUGUGACCCGAAAGAUGGUGAACUAUACCUGAUCAGAUCGAAGCCAGGAGAAAUUCUGGUGGAGGAUCGAAACAGUUCUGACGUGCAAAUCGAUUGUCAGAAUUGGGUAUAGGGGCGAAAGACCAAUCGAACCAUCUAGUAGCUGGUUCCCUCCGAAGUUUCCCUCAGGAUAGCUGGCGCAAAGAAUUAUAUUGUAUAUAAUCUUAUCUGGUAAGAGAUAUUGGGGUUUAGAUAUAUUGUGCCCAGUGGGCCACUUUUGGUAAGCAGAACUGGCGCUGUGGGAUGAACCAAACAUGAUGUUACGGCGCCUAAAUUAAUGACUCAUAUUGAUACCAUGAAAGGCGUUGGUUGCUUAAAACAGCAGGACGGUGGACAUGGAAGUCGUAAUCCGCUAAGGAGUGUGUAACAACUCACCUGCCGAAGCAACUAGCCCUUAAAAUGGAUGGCGCUCAAGUCAUAUGCCUAUACAUCAUCGCUAGAAUAGAAAUUGUUGACUUUCGGGUCAUCAAUGUGAAAUUCUAGUGAGUAGGAGGGUACAAUGGUGUGCGCGGAAGUGUUUGGCGUGAGCCUGCAUGAAGCCGCCAUUGGCACAGAUCUUGGUGGUAGUAGCAAAUAAUCGAAUGAGAUCUUGGAGGACUGAAGUGGAGAAGGGUUUCGUGUGAACAGUGGUUGAUCACGAGUUAGUCGGUCCUAAGCUUUAUGCGAAAGCUGUUUAAUUUAUGUUACACACACAAAAUUUUUUUGUUGUACAUAAUUCAAUAAAAGCGAAAGGGAAUACGGUUCCAAUUCCGUAACCUGUUGAGUAUACGUUUGUUUAUUAAAAAUGGGUCUUAUUACACUCAUCCUGGCAACAGGAACGACCAUAGAGAAGCCUUCGAGAGAUACUGGAAGAGUUUUCUUUUCUGCUAAACAAACGUAUCACCAUGGAAGUCUUUUAUAGAGAGAUAUGGUGAAUGGCUUGGAAGAGCAUGACAUUUACUGUUGUGUCAGUAUUUUCUCCUUGGACCUUGAAAAUCUAUGGUGGGGGCCACGCAAACUUUCUCAACAGACCGUACCGAUAUCCGCAGCCGGUCUCCAAGGUGAAGAGUCUCUAGUCGA
rnacentral:rRNA from 1 species